ACACUAUCUCCAAAGAGACCGAAGUGUGAUUCUAUAUGACACACGUCAUCUAGGAGUUCUAUUGGGUGCUUCCAAAUAUAUUUUGAAGCAUAUGGUACGUUCGAUGCAAUUCGUGCACCUAUCUUGCAUCAACAUUAGCACUAUCUCCCAACAAAGCAAACUGAGCUUCCACUUGAGCCCCUUUACCCAGGAGUAUCAUCGGGUGCAUCCAAAAUGGUUUCUUAGCCUAUGAUGCAUUAGGCGCAAACUGUGUACCUAUCUUGCACCAAAACUAACUCUGUCUCCAAACAGACUAAAGCGAGAUUCUAUAUGACACAUGUCAUCUAGGAGUUCUAUUGGGGUGCGUCUAAAUGGAUUUUUUAGCAUAUGGUAUGUUCCAUGCAAACCGUGCACCUAUCUUGCAUCAAGAUUAGCACUAUCUCCAAACAGAUCGAACCGAGCUUCCACUUGAGCCUCUUCACCUAGGAUUAUCAUCGGGUGCUUCCAUAAUGGUUUCUGAGCCUAUGGUGCAUUAUGUGCAAACCAUGCACCAAUCUUGCACCUAAACUAACACUGUCUCCAAACAGAUUGAAGCGAGAUUCCAUAUGACACACAUGAUCUAGGAGUUCUAUCGGGUGCGUCCAAAUUGAUUUCUGAGAAUAUGGUACGUUCCAUGCAAACCGUACACCUAUCUUUCAUCAAGAUUAGCACUAUCUCCAAACAGACCGAACCGAGCUUUCACUUGAGCCUCUUCACCAAGGAGUACCAUUGGGAACUUCCACAACGAUUUCUGAGCCUAUGGUGCACUGGGCACAAACCAUGCAACUAUCUUGCACUAUAACACUCCAAAUUUUUGAAUUUCAAAUUUAGUUUAAAUUUGAUUUAAUUUUGGCUCAAUUUGAAUUUUUGGAAAUUAUUAAAUAAUUUACAAAAUUAAAUAAAAUUAAAUAUAAGGUAGAAACAUGUUUGAGUUUGCAUUCAUGCUGCAGUAUAAUUUUUGCUUGAUUUUAUUUGUUUGUUUGUGCCUUUAUUUAAAUUUUGGAGCAAUAAUUAAAUAGGAGAAAUCUGUUUAAAAAAAAAAAAAAAAAAAAAAAGGGGCAAGCGCCCUCUCUGGGCCGGCUUCUCCCCAGCCCAGCAGCCGCGCCCCCCCCCUUCUCCCC
rnacentral:lncRNA from 1 species